GAUUAGAUACCCUGGUAGUCCACGCCGUAAACGAUGUCGACUUGGAGGCUGUUCCCUUGAGGAGUGGCUUCCGGAGCUAACGCGUUAAGUCGACCGCCUGGGGAGUACGGCCGCAAGGUUAAAACUCAAAUGAAUUGACGGGGGCCCGCACAAGCGGUGGAGCAUGUGGUUUAAUUCGAUGCAACGCGAAGAACCUUACCUACUCUUGACAUCCACGGAACUUAGCAGAGAUGCUUUGGUGCCUUCGGGAACCGUGAGACAGGUGCUGCAUGGCUGUCGUCAGCUCGUGUUGUGAAAUGUUGGGUUAAGUCCCGCAACGAGCGCAACCCUUAUCCUUUGUUGCCAGCGGUCCGGCCGGGAACUCAAAGGAGACUGCCAGUGAUAAACUGGAGGAAGGUGGGGAUGACGUCAAGUCAUCAUGGCCCUUACGAGUAGGGCUACACACGUGCUACAAUGGCGCAUACAAAGAGAAGCAACCUCGCGAGAGCAAGCGGACCUCAUAAAGUGCGUCGUAGUCCGGAUUGGAGUCUGCAACUCGACUCCAUGAAGUCGGAAUCGCUAGUAAUCGUAGAUCAGAAUGCUACGGUGAAUACGUUCCCGGGCCUUGUACACACCGCCCGUCACACCAUGGGAGUGGGUUGCAAAAGAAGUAGGUAGCUUAACCUUCGGGAGGGCGCUUACCACUUUGUGAUUCAUGACUGGGGUGAAGUCGUAACAAGG
rnacentral:rRNA from 1 species